AGUGAACGCUGGCGGUAGGCCUAACACAUGCAAGUCGAACGGCAGCACAGUAAGAGCUUGCUCUUACGGGUGGCGAGUGGCGGACGGGUGAGGAAUACAUCGGAAUCUACUUUUUCGUGGGGGAUAACGUAGGGAAACUUACGCUAAUACCGCAUACGACCUACGGGUGAAAGCAGGGGAUCUUCGGACCUUGCGCGAUUGAAUGAGCCGAUGUCGGAUUAGCUAGUUGGCGGGGUAAAGGCCCACCAAGGCGACGAUCCGUAGCUGGUCUGAGAGGAUGGUCAGCCACACUGGAAGUGAAACACGGUCCAGACUCCUACGGGAGGCAGCAGUGGGGAAUAUUGGACAAUGGGCGCAAGCCUGAUCCAGCCAUACCGCGUGGGUGAAGAAGGCCUUCGGGUUGUAAAGCCCUUUUGUUGGGAAAGAAAAGCAGCAGGUUAAUACCCCGCUGUUCUGACGGUACCCAAAGAAUAAGCACCGGCUAACUUCGUG
rnacentral:rRNA from 1 species